GACGUAGGGGGCCAGCGUUGUUCGGAAUUACUGGGUGUAAAGGGUUCGUAGGCGGUGCGGCAAGUCGGGAGUGAAAUCUCUGGGCUUAACCCAGAGGCUGCUUCCGAAACUGCUGUGCUUGAGUGUGGGAGAGGCGCGUGGAAUUGCAGGUGUAGCGGUGAAAUGCGCAGAUAUCAGGAAGAACACCUAUGGCGAAAGCAGCUCUCUGGGACGGUACUGACGCUGAGACGCGAAAGCGUGGGGAGCGAACAGG
rnacentral:rRNA from 1 species